rnacentral:misc_RNA from 1 species
UACUUACUUCCUCCGUUUCACAAUAUAAGUCAUUCUAGCAUUUCUCACAUUCAUAUUGAUGUUAAUGAAUAUAAACAGAUAUAUAUGUCUAAAUUCAUUAACAUCAAUAUGAAUGUGGGAAAUGUUAGAAUGACUUACAUUGUGAAACGGAGGGAGUAUU